rnacentral:rRNA from 1 species
CCCUUAGAUGUUCUGGGCCGCACGCGCGCUACACUGACGAAUGCAACGAGCUUAUAACCUUGGCCGAAAGGUCUGGGUAAUCUCCAAAUUUCGUCGUGAUGGGGAUAGAUUAUUGCAAUUAUUAAUCUUCAACGAGGAAUGCCUAGUAAGCGCAAGUCAUCAGCUUGCGUUGAUUACGUCCCUGCCCUUUGUACACACCGCCCGUCGCUCCUACCGAUUGAAUGGUCCGUUGAAGCGUUCGGACCGUGGCCUUUGGACGGUUCGCCGUCUGUUGGCUGCGGGAAGUUCGUUAAACCUUAUCAUUUAGAGGAAGGAGAAGUCGUAACA